UACCUGGCAAGGGAGAUACCGUGAUCAAGAAGGCGGUUCACCCAGGGCGAGGCUCAGCCAUUGCACUCCGGCUGUGCUGACCCCUGCGAAUUUCCCAAAUGUGGAAAUCUCGAUUGCAUAAUUUAUGGUAGUGGGGGACUGCGUUCGCGCUCUCCCCUG
rnacentral:snRNA from 8 species